rnacentral:tRNA from 1 species
UCCCUGAUGGUUCAGUGGUUAGAACGCCAUGCUUUUGACUGCUGAGGUAGUCUGGUUCGAUCCCUGGUCAGGGAA